rnacentral:rRNA from 1 species
CCUACGGGAGGCAGCAGUGGGGAAUAUUGGGCAAUGGGCGCAAGCCUGACCCAGCGACGCCGCGUGAGGGAUGAAGGCCUUCGGGUUGUAAACCUCUUUCAGCAGGGAAGAAGCGAAAGUGACGGUACCUGCAGAAGAAGCACCGGCUAACUAUGUGCCAGCAGCCGCGGUAAUACAUAGGGUGCAAGCGUUGUCCGGAAUUAUUGGGCGUAAAGAGCUCGUAGGUGGCUCGUCACGUCGAAUGUGAAACCCUGAGGCUCAACCUCAGGCCUGCAUCCGAUACGGGCGAACUGGAGUGUGGUAGGGGAGACUGGAAUUCCUGGUGUAGCGGUGGAAUGCGCAGAUAUCAGGAGGAACACCAAUGGCGAAGGCAGGUCUCUGGGCCACUACUGACACUGAGGAGCGAAAGCGUGGGGAGCAAACAGGAUUAGAUACCCUGGUAGUCCACGCUGUAAACGGUGGGCACUAGUUGUGGGAACCUUCCACGGUUUCUGCGACGCNGCUACGCAUAGUCGCCCGCCGUCGGGAGGUACGAGUCGCGAGAAGUUAAACGUUAACUAAGUAGAAGUUAGUACGGACGUGAGACGUACGACCGAACGGACGACCGACGAGGGAGGUUAGGG